rnacentral:rRNA from 1 species
CCUACGGGAGGCUGCAGUGAGGAAUAUUCGUCAAUGGACGAGAGUCUGAACCAGCCAAGUAGCGUGAAGGAUGACUGCCCUAUGGGUUGUAAACUUCUUUUAUAUGGGAAUAAAACAGGGUAUGCAUACCCUCUUGUAUGUACCGUAUGCAUACGGAUCGGCUAACUCCGUGCCAGCCGCCGCGGUAAUUCGGAGGCUCCGAGCGUUAGCCGGAUUUGUUGGGUUUAAAGGGAGGGGAGGUGGAUUGUUAAGGCAGUUGGUAAAGUUUGCGGCUAAACCGUAAGAUUGCAUUUGAAACUGGCAGUCUUGAGUACAGUAGAGGUGGGUGGAAUUCGAGGUGUAGCGGUGAAAUGCUUAGAUA